rnacentral:rRNA from 1 species
GACAGAGGAUGCAAGCGUUAUCCGGAAUGAUUGGGCGUAAAGCGUCUGUAGGUGGUUUAUUAAGUCUACUGUUAAAGAUCAGGGCUUAACCCUGAGCAGGCAAUAGAAACUAAUAAGCUAGAGUACGGUAGGGGCAGAGGGAAUUCCCGGUGUAGCGGUGAAAUGCGUAGAUAUCCGGAGGAACACCAGUGGCGAAGGCGACUUUCUGGCCUGUUCUUGACGCUGAGGCGCGAAAGCUAGGGGAGCAAACGGG